rnacentral:rRNA from 1 species
AUUGAACGCUAGCGGGAUGCUUUACACAUGCAAGUCGAACGAGUGGCGGACGGGUGAGUAAUGUCUGGGAAACUGCCUGAUGGAGGGGGAUAACUACUGGAAACGGUAGCUAAUACCGCAUACCAUCGGAUGUGCCCAGAUGGGAUUAGCUAGUAGGUGGGGUAAAGGCUCACCUAGGCGACGCUCCCUAGCUGGUCUGAGAGGAUGACCAGCCCGACUGGAACUGAGACACGGUCCAGACUGCAACGGGAGGCAGCAGUGUGGAAUAUCGCACAAUGGGCGCAAGCCUGAUGCAGCCAUGCCGCGUGUAUGAAGAAGGCCUGCGGGUUGUAAAGUAAUUUCAGCGGGGAGGCGUUACCCGCAGAAGAAGCACCGGCUAACUCCGUGCCAGCAGCCGCGGUAAUAC